rnacentral:rRNA from 1 species
CCUACGGGUGGCAGCAGUGAGGAAUAUUGGUCAAUGGACGAGAGUCUGAACCAGCCAAGUAGCGUGAAGGAUGACUGCCCUCUGGGUUGUAAACUUCUUUUAUAUGGGAAUAAAAUGUUCCUCUUGUUGGAUUUUGUAUGUACCAUAUGAAUAAGGAUCGGCUAACUCCGUGCCAGCAGCCGCUGUAAUACGGAGGAUCCGAGCGUUAUCCGGAUUUAUUGGGUUUAAAGGGCGAGUAGGUGGAUUGUUAAGUCAGUUGUGAAAGUUUGAGGCUCAACCGUAAAAUUGCAGUUGAAACUGGCAGGCUUGAGUACAGGAGAGGUGAGCGGAAUUCGUGGUGUAGCGGUGAAAUGCGUAGAUAUCACGAAGAACGCCGAUGGCGAAGGCAGCUCACUGGACUGCAACUGACACUGAGGCUCGAAAGUGUGGGUAUCAAACAGGAUUAGAUACCCUUGUAGUC